rfam:Nocardioides sp. Root190 contig_4, whole genome shotgun sequence.
CCGGUACCUCACACGGCCGGAUCCACCCCCGGUACCUCACACGGCCGGGGAGA